rnacentral:rRNA from 1 species
CAGUAGCCGCGGUAAUACAGAGGGUGCGAGCGUUAAUCGGAUUUACUGGGCGUAAAGCGUGCGUAGGCGGCUUCUUAAGUCGGAUGUGAAAUCCCUGAGCUUAACUUGGGAACUGCAUUUGAAACUGGCAAGCUAGAGUCUUGUAGAGGGGGGUAGAAUUCCAGGUGUAGCGGUGAAAUGCGUAGAGAUCUGGAGGAAUACCGAUGGCGAAGGCAGCCAUCUGGCCUAAUACUGACGCUGAGGUACGAAAGCAUGGGGAGCAAACAGGAUUAGAUACCCCGGUAGUCCCUGUCUCUUAUAC